AUGACCGAUGUAUUCCAGGGCUACGAGCGCCAGUACUGCGAGAUCUCGGCCUCCCUCUCCCGCAAAUGCACGGCCGCCGCCUCCCAGGAGGGAGAGAAACUGAAGCAAAAGGCCUCGGAGAUCAAAUCCGGCAUCGAUGGCGCCGAGGCACUAAUAAGGAAGAUGGAUCUUGAAGCAAGGAACCUCCAGCCGAGCGUGAGGGUCGGGCAACUGGCGAAACUGAGAGAGUACAAGUCGGAUCUUAACAAUCUGAAGGGGGCGUUGAAGAGAAUCACUGCUGGUAAUGGCCAACAAGGGGCGAGAGAGGAGUUGCUGGAGUCAGGAAUGGCAGAUACGUUGGUGGUAUCUGCUGAUCAAAGGUCAAGAUUGCUCAGGACAACGGAAAGGCAAAAUCAGACAACUGAUAGGAUCAGAGAUAGCCAUAGAACUAUGCUGGAAACAGAAGAGCUUGGAGUCUCCAUCAUGCAUGACUUGCAUCAGCAGCGCCAGUCUUUUUUGCAUGCUAAUGAUACGGCAAGUAACAUUUCUGUUAAUUCUCCCUAUUUGUCAAUUGCUUUGUUUCUGCGCAUUAUUCAUUUUUCCAUCGCAAAGUAUUUGUGGACCCCAAAAUAG
rnacentral:rRNA from 1 species